UUUGUCCUGUACAACGUGCCACGAGCAACUCCCUUUGCAAUCACCAAUGGUCCCUUGGUGAGUCUCUACUUUUGAUUUGCAAAAUAGUUCUCGUAUCCAUCUCGGUCCAAAGCAAUUCCCGAGAUCAAGUUCAUCCGCAAAUCAGGUACAUGCAAAUAGUUCUCGUAUCCAUCUCGGUCCAAAGCAAUCCCCGAGAUCAAGCUCAUCCGCAAAUCAGGUACAUGCCGUACAUCCUUUAGAACCAAUGUGCAUCCGUCAUUUGUCUUGAUACAAA
rnacentral:lncRNA from 1 species